CAGGUUAAGCCAGCACUUAACACCACAUGAAAUUGAAGUUCACGGAAUUCAAAGACGAGGCCCAAGAGGCAGCAGCAGAGGUCAGCAUCUCCACCACCCCAUCAGGUCCUGCCCAUGUUGACCCAGAUGCUGGGACAGGAGGCACACACUGAACUUACUGCUCCCGUUGACUUCUCAUCUGGUUCCAGGCUUUGAAGAGGGUCAGAAGGAUGGAAGACUUGGCCCCUCCUCUCUAGGAGUGUACACCAUGCCUGAGGAGACCACAUAUCAACGUGGAACAGCCCCGGUUAGGGCACAAGGGCGCUGGGGCCUGGACAGUCAUGCCAUGGGAGCUCAGUGGGAGGCUGGACUUAGGUUGAGGUGUGUGGGGAGAGCUUCCUGGACAGCUGGGAUCUAAGGAUGCUUAAAUCAUGGACAGGAAAGCAGCUGCAGCCUAACGAAGAGCAGGGGUGUUAGGAGGCUUCCCUAAAGUUCUGUGACCCUGUAGAACUGUUGCCACUGCUAUGGUCACUACUGCAACUACAAGCACUGCACCUGGCAUGGGAGCUUGAUGGGCCAGAGCACAUGCAAAGAGGGCAUCGGAAAUCCCAGAAGGGUAUGCAGGACCUUGUACCCUGUGGGAUUCCCAUGCUUACUUCAGGCAAACAGUAAGCCAGUAAGUGGAUGGCUGGCAGAGCUUCCCCCAGACUCUGAGGCUCUCAAACCCAUCUUUCGUGCAGAGAGAAUUGUGUGGUUAUCAUCCCCAGAACUCACCUGCUGAGUAAUUCGAUGCAAGUGAUUUGAUGUUCAGUCCCUCCUAGCAGGAGGCAGACCAGCAGGGAGUUACAGUUAACACUAACUGAGCACGGCUAUUGAGGCAGGAGAGUAGGGUCUGGAGGCAGGGAACCUAAGGCUGAUUCGCGCCGACUUCCUAGAACUGAAUCAAAAAGAAAAGCCCACCUCUCCACACCCAAAUAACAAAAGGAUCAGAGGCUACUCCCUUUGCAACCCUCCAACUUCCCCUGCAUUGCAGAUGAAAACUGAAAGUACCUCUGAUUGGUCCCCUCCUGCAACCAGUCAGGCUGGUCACAGGCCAAGUCUUCAUUUGCAGAGGAGUAUAACUUUGUAAGUUCACUUCAGCCUCUGAUUGGUCACUUUCUGCAAUCAAUCAGAUAUUUGCAUAGGGUGUAACUUUGUAUCUUCACUUCAGCCUCUGAUUAGUUGCUUUCUGCAAUCAAUCAGACUGAUCGUGGGCCACUAUUUCAUUUACAUAGGGUGUAAACCAAGUAACCAAUGGAAAACCUCUAGAGGGUAUUUAAACCCCAGAAAAUUCUGUAACCAAAGCUCUUGAGCUGCUUGCUCGAGCCCACUCCCACUCUGUGUAGCGUACUUUUGUUUCAAUAAAUCUGUGCUUUUCUUUUGUUGCUUUGUUUGUGCUUUUUGUCCAAUUCUUUGUUUAAAA